GGGGACAUAGCUCAGCUGUAGAGCGGACGCUUAGCAUGCAUGAGGUCCUGGGUUCAAUCCCCAGUACCUCCG
rnacentral:tRNA from 1 species